AGCUCGUAGUUGAAUUUCGGGAUUGACACAUCGGUCGUGCCUUAAGGGGUAUGAACUGGUGUAGUCAAUUUCUCACCUUCUGGAGAACCGCGAUGCCCUUAAUUGGGUGUCACGGGGAACCAGGACCUUUACUUUGAAAAAAUUAGAGUGUUUAAAGCAGGCAUUUUGCUUGAAUACAUUAGCAUGGAAUAAUAAAAUAGGACGGCAUGAUUCUAUUUUGUUGGUUUCUAGGAUCACCGUAAUGAUUAAUAGGGAUAGUUGGGGGCAUUAGUAUUCAAUUGUCAGAGGUGAAAUUCUUGGAUUUAUUGAAGACUAACUACUGCGAAAGCAUUUGCCAAGGAUGUUUUCAUUAAUCAAGAACGAAAGUUAGGGGAUCGAAGACGAUCAGAUACCGUCGUAGUCUUAACCAUAAACUAUGCCGACUAGGAAUCAGACGAUGUUAAUUUUUUAAUGACUCGUUCGGCA
rnacentral:rRNA from 1 species